AGUGAACGCUGGCGGUAGGCCUAACACAUGCAAGUCGAACGGCAGCACAGGAGAGCUUGCUCUCUGGGUGGCGAGUGGCGGACGGGUGAGGAAUACAUCGGAAUCUACUCUGUCGUGGGGGAUAACGUAGGGACACUUACGCUAAUACCGCAUACGACCUACGGGUGAAAGCAGGGGACCUUCGGGCCUUGCGCGAUUGAAUGAGCCGAUGUCGGCUUAGCUAGUUGGCGGGGUAAAGGCCCACCAAGGCGACGAGCCGUAGCUGGUCUGAGAGGAUGAUCAGCCACACUGGAACUGAGACACGGUCCAGACUCCUACGGGAGGCAGCAGUGGGGAAUAUUGGACAAUGGGCGCAAGCCUGAUCCAGCCAUACCGCGUGGGUGAAGAAGGCCUUCGGGUUGUAAAGCCCUUUUGUUGGGAAAGAAAUCCAGCUGGCUAAUACCCGGUUGGGAUGACGGUACCCAAAGAAUAAGCACCGGCUAACUUCGUGCCAGCAGCCGCGGUAA
rnacentral:rRNA from 1 species